rnacentral:rRNA from 1 species
AUUGAACGCUGGCGGCAUGCCUUACACAUGCAAGUCGAACGGCAGCGGGCCUUCGGGUGCCGGCGAGUGGCGAACGGGUGAGUAAUAUAUCGGAACGUGCCUUUCAGUGGGGGAUAACGUAGCGAAAGUUACGCUAAUACCGCAUAUUCUCUGAGGAGGAAAGCAGGGGACCUUCGGGCCUUGCGCUGAUAGAGCGGCUGAUAUCAGAUUAGCUAGUUGGUGGGGUAAAGGCCUACCAAGGCGACGAUCUGUAGCGGGUCUGAGAGGAUGAUCCGCCACACUGGGACUGAGACACGGCCCAGACUCCUACGGGAGGCAGCAGUGGGGAAUUUUGGACAAUGGGCGAAAGCCUGAUCCAGCCAUGCCGCGUGAGUGAAGAAGGCUUUCGGGUUGUAAAGCUCUUUCGGCCGGGAAGAAAUCGCACGGGCUAAUACCUUGUGUGGAUGACGGUACCGGAAUAAGAAGCACCGGCUAACUACGUGCCAGCCGCCGCCGUAA